AAGCCCUCAAAUGACUUACAGAAUCCAGGCAAACUUCUGCCAGAGUCACCUGGAGAAGGAGGGAGAAAAUGACUUGACUGGUGGUCUACAAGAUGCAGUGGAAUGAGGAGCCAGUCCCACCAGGAGGACAGUGCCAAAUCUGGCAGUGAGAUCACACAGAUUCAGCUCGCGUUCGAAGUGAACUGGAAAGAAUGUCUCAAAGUACCUGCUUUGAAGUAUCUCAUCGUACAGAAACCCAAGAACCGAAGAGACAGUGAGCACAAACUGACUGAGGAACAAGAGGGUCAAGAUAUUGAUUGCAGAAAUUGAUGAAAACUUCCUUAGGUGACAUGACUUGGCUUCGGUUAUUUUCCUGUAAUCAUCAUCUUAGAAUUCGUGUCAAACUCAAAAGACCAAAAAAAUGGGGACUGUUUAGAGUAUGCAAUGAAACCUAAAUUCAUCACUGAUGGUAAAACAACUC
rnacentral:lncRNA from 1 species